rnacentral:rRNA from 1 species
CCUACGGGUGGCAGCAGUGGGAAUAUUGGGCAAUGGACGCAAGUCUGACCCAGCAACGCCGCGUGAAGGAAGAAGGCUUUCGGGUUGUAAACUUCUUUUAAGGGGGAAGAGCAGAAGACGGUCCCCCUUGAAUAAGCCACGGCUAACUACGUGCCAGCAGCCGCGGUAAUACGUAGGUGGCAAGCGUUGUCCGGAUUUACUGGGUGUAAAGGGCUUGCAGCAGGGGAGACAAGUUCGAUGUGAAAUGCACGGGCUCAAACCGUGAACUGCAUUUGAAACUGUUUCCCUUGAGUGUCGGAGAGGUAAGCGGAAUUCCUAGUGUAGCGGUGAAAUGCGUAGAUAUUAGGAAGAACACCAGUGGCGAAGGCGGAUUACUGGACGAUAACUGACGGUGAGGCGCGAAAGCGUGGGGAGCAAACAGGAUUAGAUACCCGGGUAGUC